UACAGAGGUCUCAAGCGUUGUUCGGAUUCAUUGGGCGUAAAGGGCGCGCAGGCGGCCGAGCACGUCCGUUGUGAAAUCGCCUGGCUCAACUGGGCGGGGUCAGCGGAUACGGCUAGGCUGGAGCAAGCUAGGGGGCAAUGGAAUUCCCGGUGUAGUGGUGGAAUGCGUAGAUAUCGGGAGGAACACCAGUGGCGAAGGCGGUUGCCUGGAGCUUUGCUGACGCUGAGGCGCGAAAGCGUGGGGAGCGAUCCGG
rnacentral:rRNA from 1 species